AGGUAUCAGAAGUGCGAAUGCUGACAUGAGUAACGACAAUGCGGGUGAAAAACCCGCACGCCGGAAGACCAAGGGUUCCUGCGCAACGCUAAUCGGCGCAGGGUUAGCCGGCCCCUAAGACGAGCCCGAAGGGGGUAGUCGAUGGGAACCACGUAAAUAUUCGUGGGCCUGAAGAUGUGUGACGGAUCGUGGAAGUUGUUUUCUCUUAUUGGAUUGAGAGGGCAGCCAAGCGGUUCCAGGAAAUAGCCUCUUCAUAUAGACCGUACCCGAAACCGACACAGGUGGUCAGGUAGAGUAUACCAAGGCGCUUGAGAGAACUCUGCUGAAGGAACUCGGCAAAUUGCACGCGUAACUUCGGGAUAAGCGUGACCCUUAUGCACGCAAGUGUGUGGGGGUGGCACAGACCAGGGGGUAGCGACUGUUUAUCAAAAACACAGGACUCUGCGAAGCCGUAAGGCGACGUAUAGGGUCUGACGCCUGCCCGGUGCCGGAAGGUUAAAAGGAGAUGUGAGAGCGUCGAAUUGAAGCCCCGGUGAACGGCGGCCGUAACUAUAACGGUCCUAAGGUAGCGAAAUUCCUUGUCGGGUA
rnacentral:rRNA from 1 species